UGUUGCUUUUUCAAAAGAAAAAUUGAGAGAAAGGAAAAAAAAAACCUUAAACACUUAAUAGUAAACUCCUUCAAAAGAAAACUUGCUUCAAGCCAAAAAACAUUUGCCAAGUUUCAACUAAAUGUGAAUUUUCUAACUAAAUGACGCUGUAAUAAACACCUCAAUAUGGGGGUUUCAAAAUGAGAAUGCCAAGACAACUUUGCUUCAAGGAGUUAAAAAAAUAUAUAUAUAUUAAAUAUGUAACUUUUUUUUUAAGAAAAAUCAAACUACCCCACGGAGACAUUUUAUGGUGCUUCAGUUAUAUAUACAUAUUAAAUAAAACAAACAAAAAAACCCCCAAGCAAAUCAAAUACAGAGAAAGCAAAAUGAAAAGCCAUAGAUUCAUGUGUUGCCCAUCAUUCCAGUCAUGCAGGAGGAUGUAGGUAGGAGCAGGACUCUCCCCAGAACCAGAUCAUAGGUCUGGAUGCUAUUGCAGCAGAUUAACCUGGGACCACUACAGGAAGGAAGCAUUUCCAGGUGAGAGAAGGGGUCUACAUCAGAAAUGCUGUUGCAGAACCUACCUGGCCAUUUUACCUCAUCUAGACUCCAACGAGGGUUCCCAGGGACUCUGAAUCCAAGUCCAGUGCCUCCUUCCCUGUGUGCUGCACCAAGUGGUGCCUGCUGUGGCUUGUAGGUGUGAGGGGCUCCAGCAAGGCUCUCCAGCAGCAGAUAGUGACGGUGUGAGCCACUAAACAUUCCUGGGACAGGAAGAGCCUAAAUUCCUGACUGCUCAGAAGUUAAAUGGCUUUUCCUGUGCUUUGGUGCACAAGGUGAGAUCCCGAGAAAGCAGAGCUCUGGGUGCAAAGCGUGAGCACAUCAAUCUCUUCUCAGGGCCAAGUCCGGCUGCCUGGUUUGCAGACAGCUGCUGAUUUGUUUUGGAAUGUACAAAGAUGCCCUUAAAUCCAAUUUAGGCAUUAAGGGGAAAAUAAACCCAUGAGUGCCGUAUGGUGGCUCUGCAGCCCCAAAGGCACCUACAGCUCCUGAGGGGACAGAGGUGCUGCCGUGACUGGUCCAAAACUACUGUGGUGGUGCUGCAAACCACAGCAUCCCUGCAGAGAUGAGCAGUGGGACCCUGCUGCCAGGGGAACCAAAGGCCUUAGGCUGGUUUUAAUUCUGGCCAGCUCCCUCGUGCUGUCACACACAGGACAGAUUGGGAAAGCUGCAGCAAGAGAACAACCUGUGUUUCUGCAGGGAAGGACUGCAGCCAUGAGUUAGCUAGACUCGUCCAAAUAAAGGGGGGAAAAAGCUACUUAUGUCGUUUCCCCAGCCUCAGAGCAAUAUGCUUUCCUAGGAUCAAUUCAUAAUAGGUUGUUGUGUUCAAAGCUAAAAUUAAUCUUACAUCAGGAGAAUGAAUUAAAACAAUGAAGAGCUUCCUGCAUCCAUUGCUAAAAAAAUUAAUCGUCUAAGAGCUUCCUUUUCUACUUUCCAACUGGCCACCUUGCUUUCAUUCAAGGAAAGCCUGAGUAAAAAAAUGAAAAGCCGUUUCCAGGUGGUUUUGGUUAAAGCAAACAAAGAGCUUGAAUUGUGUCAGAGCCUGGUUUCAGGCAGAAGGUGCAGGGUUAGCCAGAAAGAGUGAACCACCACUGCUGAGAUACAGCCACUGGCCUAAUUAGGUGGAAUAGCUAUUAGUGAUUCCACCUAAUUAGAUAAUUAGAUUAAUUAUCUAAUUAACUGAGAUUGUUGUUAGACAAAGGCAGGUAGAGCUUCAGAGGUGAUAAGGAAGACAUCAGGGCAAGGUUACUCUGAUUUAUAUUGAUUUUUUUAACAGUUCAAGAACUCCCCUGGUUCCCACAUUUAUUUACCCAAGUCUUGCUCCUCCGGGGUUGUUUGAAAGUGAUUAAAGCAAGGAAGGGGGGGGGCUGUUCUUUUACAAACAGAGAGGGGGAAAAAAAAAGGAAAUUUCACUGCAAGGAUUCAGUGGAGGGGAGAAACCAGACCGAGCAGGGGAAUGUGUUGUGGAUGAGAACUGCCUCUGCCCCCCCUCCACUUCUUGUGCUUGGAUUUUGCAGCGCAUCCUCCCCGCAGACCUUUUUGGCUACACAGCGUGUUUGUCUUUGGGGAGAGAGACAACAUGUGAGCUAAUGAUGCACCAACACCGAGCGGGAGCUGUGGUGCUGGCAGAUUUUUCUCCAUCGCUUGCUCUUUGCUGGCAGUGCUGGUGGGAACCACAAGCCAAUUAAGGAGGCCUCGUUGCGGUAGACGUGGCGUAAAAGUAGCAUUAGAGCAUCCUGCCCCAGAGACCCGUCAGCCCUGAAUACCCGAGGGCGAGCGCAAGGCAGGUUUGCAAGUUUAAUAAGCCAAGUCCUCCUCGCUCAGGCGUGAAGAUAAUAUUAUGCCAGGCAGGCCCCGGGUGGAGGAGGCAGAGCUGGAGCCUGUGGCUUGCGCGAUUUCAGCCACCUGCUUUGAAUUGCACCGCGACGGAGUCAGGCCCACAGCUGAGCCCAAGUUUUAGGAGGCACAGGAGGGCACGCAACCAAGUCGACCCUGUCUUUCCCGUCCUACAGCUAUUGUUAGAUGCAUCAAGAACUUGACCCACUUUGGGAGUUUCUGGUGGUUUUUCACAUUCCAUUUGUCCUUUCUGACUAACAUUUUGCACUCGUGUGUCACAGCCCUGGCUCUGCUCCCUGUGGUGGAUGCUCAGAUUGCUGGAAAAAGAUCCAGCUGCUAUAUCCCACUGUGUUUAGAGUUUCUGAGCUCUGACUGGAUCCAAGACACCACCCACACUGGGUUUUGAGGCAUCCUCUCCACAUGCCAGCUCCACCUAGCAUCCUCCUUUCUCACCAAGCUUAUGUCCUCCAGCUGCCUAUUUGAAUUCAGACCUUAAAGACUUUGCACACUUCCUCACACCAAAAAACACAAGCUUUGCAGACUAGGACAGAAUUUUUGCAGAGGCCGAUAACAAGUGCAACCCCAGGUGGGCUUUUCUCUGAGUUUUGGAGCUUGGCUGGUCUCUGUUCACACUGCAGAGCACAACAGCAUUUAGUGAUCUGGUGAGUAGUGUGUCCUCAGCACAGGGCCAGCUCUUGGGCUCACCUCCCUGUAGGAAUCCUCACAAAUCAGCCAGAUGGCAGAAGGAAAUGGUUUACACACCUUGUCAAGAGCUCAGAGGUGACUUACGGUUUAUCUUCUCUAGCUUUGGUUGAUCCCACAGCUAAACCAGCCCCUUCCCACUGUAAAUGCCUCACCAUCUCUUCCUCUGUCUUCUGCACACCUCUGAGGUUUCUCUGUCAUACACCCUCAAAUCGCUUGACUUCUUCAUUCAGCCUUAAUACCUGUGUAUAAUAAUAGCUUAAUAACUUUAUAAUAGCUUCAACCUGUCUCCUGAGAGGUACAGAAAUAAACCUGUCUUCCCUAGUUGCACAGACUACGUUAAGAGAUCCAUUACUGGUCACAUCACAAUCAUCAGAAUUCUCAGCUCCCAUUGCCCCUGCUCCAGUGCGUGUGCCUUGGCAUCCUUUUCAGCAAGAUGCUCCACCCAGGCCACAGCAGCAACCCAUGGAAGAGCUGCAGAGUAUAAAUGUCAUGCCAAUGCCUCGGGUACUGCAUGAGGCUGGGCAGCCUGUGCCCUGCCAGGUGUGGAGUGUCAGGCUCCCACUCUCCCUUCCUGCACCCUGCAAGCCCCAGAGGCCACGGCCACCGUCUCAGGCAGAACUUGCUCUUUCCUAACAAAACACUCAGGUCUCCACAGGAGCUAAAGGGUUGCAAGUACAGACCAGCCACUUGCUGGGAGCCGCCGGCCAUCUGGAAUUACAAGACUGAAGUGAACUGCAAGGUACCACAGUGAACAUGUGCAUGAAACUAUCUGAGGCUGCAAAACAAAGGCACUUGCUGGAAAUUAUUAAAACAGCACAAAAACGUGGAAUUCGCCCAAAAUGGAAGGUACAUUGGAAGGGGUAAGAAAUAUCAUAUUGCAAUUAAUGCUGUAUAGGACAUGACAGCAAGACAGAGCCUACUUAUGAAAGAACAUUCCAAUACCAGAGCAAACCCUGUGGCCAAGCCUGGACACUGUGGUGGGGGACAUCCACCCUGGGUGACAGGAUGCAGCAGCAGCCCCAACAGGGCGAGAUAAAGCAGUAGCCUGCAAAUAAACUGAAAUCAGUCACUCAA